rnacentral:rRNA from 1 species
GAUGAACGCUGGCGGCGUGCCUAAUACAUGCAAGUCGAGCGAACGGGCGAGAAGCUUGCUUCUCUGAUGUUAGCGACGGACGGGUGAGUAACACGUGGAUAACCUACCUAUAAGACUGGGAUAACUUCGGGAAACCGUAGCUAAUACCGGAUAAUAUUUUGAACCGCAUGGUUCAAAAGUGAAAGACGGUCUUGCUGUCACUUAUAGAUGGAUCCGCGCUGCAUUAGCUAGUUGGUAAGGUAACGGCUUACCAAGGCAACGAUGCAUAGCCGACCUGAGAGGGUGAUCGGCCACACUGGAACUGAGACACGGUCCAGACUCCUACGGGAGGCAGCAGUAGGGAAUCUUCCGCAAUGGGCGAAAGCCUGACGGAGCAACGCCGCGUGAGUGAUGAAGGUCUUCGGAUCGUAAAACUCUGUUAUUAGGGAAGAACAUAUGUGUAAGUAACUGUGCACAUCUUGACGGUACCUAAUCAGAAAGCCACGGCUAACUACGUG